rnacentral:rRNA from 1 species
UGGGGGAUAUUGCACAAUGGGCGAAAGCCUGAUGCAGCGAUGCCGCGUGGAGGAAGAAGGUCUUCGGAUUGUAAACUCCUGUCUUUAGGGACGAUAAUAACGGUACCUAAGGAGGAAGCUCCGGCUAACUACGUGCCAGCAGCCGCGGUAAUACGUAGGGAGCGAGCGUUGUCCGGAAUUACUGGGUGUAAAGGGAGCGUAGGCGGGGCGGCAAGUCAGGUGUGAAAUUUAUGGGCUUAACCCAUAACCUGCAUUUGAGACUGUCGCUCUUGAGUGAAGAAGAGGUUGGCGGAAUUCCUAGUGUAGCGGUGAAAUGCGUAGGUAUUAGGAGGAACACCAGUGGCGAAGGCGGCCAACUGGGCUUUUACUGACGCUGAGGCUCGAAAGCGUGGGGAGCAAACAG